GGCUGGUCCAAUGGCAGUGGGUUAUCAGAACUUAUUAACAUUAGUGUCACUAAAGUUGGUAUACCCCCCCCACUGCUAAAUUUGACUGACUUAAA
ensembl:misc_RNA Y_RNA Y RNA